AAAAAUAAAAUAUAAUUUAUAAAUGCAAAAUGAAAGGUUUAAGAGAGAAAGGGGGCCUCGCUAAAGAUAUUUGCUCCAAAGGCCGAAGCUCAGAGCUUUCUCUGAUUUGCAGAGAGUAUCCAAAGGACAGACAAUUGGGGAGAGAGAGACAGAGAGAGAGAGAGAGAGAGAACUGCGAAGAACAGAAACAGAGAGUUCGGAGUUACAGUUAGAGAGAAAGAGAUAGAGAGAGAGAGAGAGAGAGAGAGAGAGAGAGAGAGAGAUUUUGAAAAUUCCAAGCAGGUCCUUUUUCUUCUUAUCCAAUCCGUAAGUCCCUCGCAUUUUUUUAAUCUCUCCUUUUUAGCAUGGUGUUAUUGUUUCUGGGUUAAUUAGAACUUAAACUCUGAUUUCCAUUGCUUUUUUUGCUCAAUAGAUUCGCUGGGUUUACAGAUUUUAAAGGUUCAACAUCGACCCGAUGUUCAUUUCUGAAAUACAUGAAUUUUCCUUUUUAUGUUUCUGGGUAUAAAUUAUCUGUGAAACUAUGGUUUUGAUUUGACUUUUGAAAGAAGAAAAGAAAAGGAUAACUGAAAGAUUGGUUUUUGAAGAAGACCCAUCUGGAUCGUUGGUCGAUUGGAUUUGGAAGGGUGAAAGUUCGACGGAUAGUUCUGAAAAAGUUAGACUUUCUUCAUCCGGUUCAUGCAAUCAGUGAUAACGAUUGGGUUUUUAUACUAUUUCUGACAAAUAAAUUUGAACUUCUUUUUACUUUUGAAUGGAAUCUGAUAGGUUGUAUUUUGACUGAAUUUUCCGAGGGACUUGGGGGAUUAGUUUUUUUCGAAAAUUUAUCUUUGGAAUUUUUCAAUUUCUUUUUACCCAGAGAUAGAGGCUUUUGGAUAGGAUUUGGGUCUGAAUUUGGUGGCCUUCCAUUGAUUGUUUCACGGAGAAAUGUUGGAGGAUCGGUCCUGCUUGCUUUCGAGGGUGUUUCCGAGCUUUUGCCAGCCUGAAAGCGAGUGGCCUUAUAUGACUUACCGCCGGCUCGAAGAUAUUGCCAACGGAAAGCGUCCAUUGGGGUUCGACGGCAGCGAGGAUGACGAAGAGCAUCGAGAGAGGAAGUUGUGUAAGCUGUUGGAUUGUUGUGACAUGGUGGAGACUGACAUGAAUCAGUCUUCGUGUGAGCAAUCGGACGAUCAGCAGCAUUCUGGGGUUCCUUCAGAUUCGGAUAACCUUAUACAUAGGAUUGGUAGGGAUAACUCGAUCAGCUGUCUAAUUCGCUGUUCUAGGUCUGAUUAUGGUCUCAUUGCCUCUUUGAACCAGAGCUUCCGCUCGUUAGUUAGGAGUGGGGAGCUCUAUAAACUGAGGAGGCAGAAUGAUGUCACUGAGCACUGGAUUUAUUUCUCUUGCGACCUACUUGAAUGGGAAGCCUUUGAUCCCAAUUCCGGCAGGUGGAUGCACUUGCCGAGGAUGAUUUCCAAUGAAUGUUUCAUGUGUUCCGAUAAGGAAUCUUGCGCUGUGGGAACUGAGCUUCUUGUAUUUGGUAAGGAGGUGACUUCCCAUGUAAUCUUUAGGUAUAGUAUUUUGACAAACUCAUGGUCUUCUGGAAUGAGGAUGAAUGCCCCGAGAUGCUUGUUUGGGUCUGCCAGCCUUAAGGAGAUUGCAAUUUUGGCAGGUGGUUGUGACUCUCAGGGAAAUAUACUCAGCUCCGCAGAGCUAUAUAAUUCUGAGACUCAGAGUUGGGAGAUGCUCCCGAGCAUGAAUAAGCCCCGGAAGAUGUGUUCUGGGGUUUUUAUGGAUGAAAAGUUCUAUGUUAUUGGUGGGAUUGGGGGAAGUGAUCCAAGGGUUCUUACAUGCGGUGAAGAAUAUGAUUUAAAGGCAAGAACAUGGACAGAAAUACCUAACAUGUCUCCUGGACGGAGUGGUGCAGCCAGAGAGAAUGAUGUGCCUGCAGGGGAGGCACCGCCUCUGGUUGCUGUGGUAAAUAAUGAAUUGUAUGCUGCUGACUAUGCUGACAUGGAGGUGAGGAAAUAUGACAAGGAGAGAAGAGUAUGGUUGACGGUGGGGAGAUUGCCUGAGCGGGCUGCCUCAAUGAAUGGUUGGGGUCUUGCAUUCAGGGCUUGUGGAGACCGGCUUAUUGUUAUCGGCGGGCCAAGGACUCUAGGCGAAGGUUUCAUAGAGAUCAAUGCAUGGGCUCCAGGUGAUGGCCCUCCACACUGGAACUUACUUGCCAGGAAGCAAUCGGGUCACUUUGUCUAUAAUUGUGCAGUGAUGGGGUGCUGAAGAUACGGAUGUACAAGAUUGGAUUGUCUGUCGACACAGGAGUCUUGCUAAUUGUUCUUGUGAAUUAUUGUGUGAAGAAAUAUUUAAUCUUCGUCGAUGUUUACGGUACUAAGGGUGCAAUGUGUGCGCUUUGAUUAUGUAUAAAGAACAAUGAAGGCAGAGGCAGACAAGAUAAUCUGAUGUCGAAAGACUCGGUGAUGCAUGCAGUUCCGGUUACAAUCGAUGUAAAAAAAUCCCGAUUUGGUAGCUUCUGAUCGAUGCGUGCCACAUUUUCCCCUUGUUAGCAAAACGAAAGUUCCUAACAUGUGUAUUUGUUUGAAGACCAUAGAUUCGGCACAACUUAGCGUUUUGUGAUUGUUCAGUUCUGAGUAGUUUUUCGGUGUAAUGUCAUUCCGCAGUUACGUGAUAUUAUCAAUUUACUCAUGUAUAACAUGUGGAUAUUGUUGUUCGUAUUAUGGAUCUACAGCGCUUGUUAACUA